GUUCAAACACACUUAUCUUUAUUUACUUUAAAGGUCUUUCUUUAAAAGCCUUAUAAAGUUAUGACAGUUUUAAUGUUAAAUGGUUAAGAAAUACACAAUUGCCACAAUAAAUAUGAAAUUUUAUUGUGGAAGAUGAGAUUUGCUCAUAGUUGGGACUGAGAAGUAUUAUGGUUUGUGUGUCACUGUGAGUUGUGUGUCACUGUGAGUUGUGUGUCACUGUGAGUUGUGUGUCACUGUGAGUUGUGUGUCACUGAGUUGUGUGUCACUGAGUUGUGUGUCACUGAGUUGUGUGUCACUGUGAGUUGGCGCAAAGUGGAAGAUUCAGAUCAACACCUAUUGGAUGCUGAGCUUCAGGAAGAUCCUGAUGAGGAAGUCCAACAUCUGUUAAAAAAAAAAAAAAAAAAAGAUUCAGAUCAGGUGAGAAGUGCACGGCUGCAGCCCAUGGUAAAGUAAGUUGGUGCCUGAGCUGUGCGCACUUGUCCACUCCUUAGGCUGAGUCCAGCAGGCCGUUUUCAGAUUCAGUUGUCUCUUACAAGCAGUUAGGUUAGGGCGUGGCCUCUAGAGCACCAGAGGUAAGUGCCUUUCAUUUCCCAGUUCCACAGGCAUGCCACUUGCUUCCCCCCACUUCUGCCCAAUUGUAUAUAAAAUACUAUUCAAGUGUACAACGCAGUUUGCAUUGGAUUCAAAUUGGAUUCAUCAUUAUCACUUUUAUAUCGUGCUAAGAACUUUUAAAAGGCAUUUUCUUACAGUUAUCACUGACUUGGGGGUGGUAUGUGGGCAACGCACAGCACUCAUGUGGAAGUCAGAGGACAAGUUAAAGGAUUAAUUUUCUUCUUGCACUAUGUGUAUAUCAAGGAUCGAGGUCCGGCAGUCAGGCAUGGUCGUGUAUGUCUACCCACUUAACUGUCUCCUGGCCUAGAGAUAAGAACUCUUGACAUAAGAUCUACCCUACGAUAAAUACAGUCUUGUUACCUUUAAGCACUGAACAGCAAGUUAUGUCUCCUCUCAUGUCUCCUGACACCUACCAUCUACUCUCCAGUUCUGUGAAUAUUUUAUAUACUUCAUGUAAAUAAAUCCUGGAACAUUUGUCUUUAUAACCAGUAUUUCAUUUAGCAUAAUGCCCUCCAGGCUUAUCUGUUAGUACAUAUAACAGGAUUUUUUUCCUGUAACAAGCUGCGUAUUGCAUCGUGUGUCUAUUCCACAUUUUCUUUAAUAGCUAUCUAUAUGUAGAUAUUUAGGUUUUUGUGUCUUAAUGCUUCAGUGAACAUGGAAAUGUAUAUAUGUCUUCAGCUCUUGAUAGUAUAUAUCAUAGGAAGUGGGUUGCUGGAUCAUAUAUACUCUGCUUUUUUAUUAUUAUUAUUUUUGCGGAACCUCCAUGCUGUUUUUCACAAGGAAUGCUCCAUUUUUCAUUUCUCCC
rnacentral:lncRNA from 1 species